rnacentral:rRNA from 1 species
GGUAACACCGGCGGCCCGAGUGGUGAUCGUGAUUAUUGGGUCUAAAGGGUCCGUAGCCGGUUUGGUCAGUCCUCCGGGAAAUCUGAUAGCUCAACUAUUAGGCUUUCGGGGGAUACUGCCAGACUUGGAACCGGGAGAGGUAAGAGGUACUACAGGGGUAGGAGUGAAAUCUUGUAAUCCCUGUGGGACCACCUGUGGCGAAGGCGUCUUACCAGAACGGGUUCGGCGGUGAGGGACGAAAGCUGGGGGCACGAACCGGAUUAGAUACCCGGGUAGUCCCAGCCGUAAACGAUGCUCGCUAGGUGUCAGGCAUGGCGCGACCGUGUCUGGUGCCGCAGGGAAGCCGUGAAGCGAGCCACCUGGGAAGUACGGCCGCAAGGCUGAAACUUAAAGGAAUUGGCGGGGGAGCACAACAACGGGUGGAGCCCUGCGGUUUAAUUGGACUCAACGCCGGACAACUCACCGGGGGCGACAGCAAUAUGUAGGCCAAGCUGAAGACUUUGCCUGAAUCGCUGAGAAGUGGUGCAUGG